UCCGUAGGUGAACUGCGGAAGGAUCAUU
rnacentral:rRNA from 2 species